rnacentral:rRNA from 1 species
GUCGAACGAGAACGGGUUAUAGCUUGCUAUAAUUGUCAGCUAAGUGGCGCACGGGUGAGUAAUGUAUAGGUAAUAUGCCUUUUACUAAGGGAUAACAGAUGGAAACGUUUGCUAAUACCUUAUACUCCGUUUAUGUAUAAAUGUAAAUGGGAAAGAUUUAUCGGUAAGAGAUUGGCCUGUAUUGUAUCAGUUAGUUGGUGGGGUAAUGGCCUACCAAGACAAUGACGCAUAACUGGUUUGAGAGGAUGAUCAGUCACGCUGGAACUGAGACACGGUCCAGACUCCUACGGGAGGCAGCAGUGGGGAAUAUUGCACAUGGACGGAAGUCUGAUGCAGCAACGCCGCGUGGAGGAUGACACAUUUCGGUGCGUAAACUCCUUUUAUAUAAGAAGAUAAUGACGGUAAUAUAUGAAUAAGCACCGGCUAACUCCGUGCCAGCAGCCGCGGUAAUACGGGGGGUGCAAGCGUUACUCGGAAUCACUGGGCGUAAAGAGCAUGUAGGCGGAUUGAUAAGUUUGAAGUGAAAUCCUAUAGCUUAACUAUAGAACUGCUUUGAAAACUGUUAAUCUAGAAUGUGGGAGAGGUAGAUGGAAUUUCUGGUGUAGGGGUAAAACCCGUAGAGAUCAGAAGGAAUACCGAUUGCGAAGGCGAUCUACUAGAACACUAUUGACGCUGAGAUGCGAAAGCGUGGGGAGCAAACAGGAUUAGAUACCCUGGUAGUCCACGCCCUAAACGAUGUACACUAGUUGUUGUGAGACUAGAUCUUGCAGUAAUGCAGUUAACACAUUAAGUGUACCGCCU